rnacentral:rRNA from 1 species
GUGGGGAAUAUUGGACAAUGGGGGGAACCCUGAUCCAGCCAUGCCGCGUGUGUGAAGAAGGCCUUUUGGUUGUAAAGCACUUUAAGCGAGGAGGAGGCUACCGAGAUUAAUACUCUUGGAUAGUGGACGUUACUCGCAGAAUAAGCACCGGCUAACUCUGUGCCAGCAGCCGCGGUAAUACAGAGGGUGCAAGCGUUAAUCGGAUUUACUGGGCGUAAAGCGCGCGUAGGUGGCCAAUUAAGUCAAAUGUGAAAUCCCCGAGCUUAACUUGGGAAUUGCAUUCGAUACUGGUUGGCUAGAGUAUAGGAGAGGAUGGUAGAAUUCCAGGUGUAGCGGUGAAAUGCGUAGAGAUCUGGAGGAAUACCGAUGGCGAAGGCAGCCAUCUGGCCUAAUACUGACACUGAGGUGCGAAAGCAUGGGGAGCAAACAGGAUUAGAUACCCGAGUAGUCC